UGUUGUUGGAUGUAGAGACACAAUGUUGCUGAUUCUGCAGCUGCUGCUCGCACUGACUCUGUCUAUAAGAACAGGUGGAUAUUAUCAUUAUACCAUAACAGAAUGCAUCAGCAGUUCAGCAGAUCUUUCUGAUUUGGAGCUCAUAGACACAUAUUAUUUUAAUAAGAUUCCAGACGUACAGUUUAACAGCACUGUGGGGAAGUAUGUAGGAUUCACCGAGGUUGGAGAGAAGCAGGCAGAGGUCUGGAACAGCGGACCUGAACUACAGCAGAUGAAAGCUGCGCUGGAGAGAUACUGCAAACCCAACCGGCAAAUACACUCCUCUGCUAUUCUGGAAAAAGCAGUGAAGCCGGUGGUCCAACUCAUGUUAGACAAGCAUGCCAGUGGUGGUCAUCCAGCCUUGCUGAUGUGCAGCGCGUAUGACUUCUACCCCCCAGCCAUCGAUGUGUACUGGCUGAGAGACGGCAAAAAAGUGACCACUGAUAUGAUUUCCACUGCAGAGAUGGCUGAUGGAGACUGGUACUACCAGAUCCACUCCCACCUGGAGUACACGCCCACAUCUGGAGAGAAGAUCUCCUGUGUGGUGGACCACGCCAGCUCUAAGGAACCCAUCAUCUAUGAGUGGGAUCCGUCUCUUCCUGAGUCUGACAGGAACAAGAUUGCCUUUGGAGCUUCAGGGCUGGUGUUGGGGAUCAUCCUGUCAGCUGCUGGAUUCAUGUACUACAAGAAGAAAUCCUCAGGUCAGUGGAGAUAAGACACAGUUUAAGUGACACUGGUCCAUCUGUGGCAUUAUGAAUAUAUUCAUUUCAUUUAUUGUACAAUUAUGAAUGUGUUUUUACAGGAAUUCUGUAAAGUUGAGUCAAGGUUCCUGUGUUGAUGUUGAGGACUCACCUUUACUCUUAAGUGAUGAAGAGAAGCAGUGGAGUCUGGGAUCAGCUUUACUUACCUGCACGAAGUUUAUAGAAUUAAAUAUAGAUUUUUUGUAUCAGCGUGAGCUUGAUAUUGUUUCGUUUAGAAGUAUUUGUAUAAGUUUGAUAAUAAGAGGAACAUGAUAGAUGUGGGUCAAAUUAAAUCUUGGAGACUAUAAUGUGUGUAAGUUACUUGUUUUAAAUGAAAACUGCCACUUUGACCAUUUACAGUUCAUACUCAAGUCUCAAAAACAAAACCAGGCAGAGUUUGACGGUGGAUAAGAUUUUAAAUGAGACCAAAGCAACAUUAGACAUAGAUUUAAUUCCAGUGUUCUGACUUUUAUUUAGUUUUUUGGAAACAUCUAUACCUUUUUUUUUUUUACUGUUGUUUCGUUUUAGAAGACAACAAUCCAAAAUUUCCUGUUAUAGUCUAUAGCUUUAUGUACAGCUCUUGAUUUGUUUUUUAUGUAUUCUGCUGAGCUAAAUAAAUAUUUUCGAACUAUUUCUUUGUUCAAAAAGCUAUUUUAAGUCUCCGUGACAAUCUUUUAAUCUCAUACUUCGAGUUGGUGUGCAAUUU